CCUUCUGUUGGUGCUGAUAUGAGCGGCCCGUACCCCAAACCGACACAGGUGGUCAGGUAGAGAAUACCGAGGCGAUCGGGCGAACUGUGGUUAAGGAACUCGGCAAAUUACCCCCGUAACUUCGGGAGAAGGGGGGCCACAGACUGUCAUACCCCACGCGGGUGGCAGCAGUAGGUGGCCGCAGAGACCAGGGGGAAGCGACUGUUUACUAAAAACACAGGUCCGUGCGAAGUCGUAAGACGAUGUAUACGGACUGACGCCUGCCCGGUGCUGGAACGUUAAGGGGACCGGUUAGUCCGCAAGGGCGAAGCUGAGAACUUAAGCGCCAGUAAACGGCGGUGGUAACUAUAACCAUCCUAAGGUAGCGAAAUUCCUUGUCGGGUAAGUUCCGACCUGCACGAAUGGCGUAACGACUUCCCUACUGUCUCAACCACAGGCCCGGCGAAAUUGCACUACGAGUAAAGAUGCUCGUUACGCGCGGAAGGACGGAAAGACCCCGGGACCUUCACUAUAGCUUGACAUUGGUAUCCGAAUUUAAUUGUGUAGGAUAGGUGGGAGGCUUUGAUCCGCGGACGCCAGUCCGUCGGGGAGCCAACGUUGAAAUACCACUCUGUUGAAUUUGGGUAUCUAACUUCGGACCGUGAUCCGGUUCAGGGACAGUGUCUGGUGGGUAGUUUAACUGGGGCGGUUGCCUCCUAAAAUGUAACGGAGGCGCCCAAAGGUUCCCCCAGCCUGGUUGGCAAUCAGGUGUUGAGUGCAAGUGCACAAGGGAGCUUGACUGUGAGACUGACAGGUCGAGCAGGGACGAAAGUCGGGACUAGUGAUCCGGCACCUGCGAGUGGAAGCGGUGUCGCUCAACGGAUAAAAGGUACCCCGGGGAUAACAGGCUGAUCUUCCCCAAGAGUCCAUAUCGACGGGAUGGUUUGGCACCUCGAUGUCGGCUCGUCGCAUCCUGGGGCUGGAGUAGGUCCCAAGGGUUGGGCUGUUCGCCCAUUAAAGCGGCACGCGAGCUGGGUUUAGAACGUCGUGAGACAGUUCGGUCCCUAUCCUCCGCGCGCGUAGGAGACUUGAGAAGAGCUGUCCCUAGUACGAGAGGACCGGGACGGACGAACCUCUGGUGUGCCAGUUGUCAUGCCAAUGGCACGGCUGGUUAGCUACGUUCGGAAGGGAUAACCGCUGAAAGCAUCUAAGCGGGAAGCUCGCUUCAAGAUGAGGUCUCCCACCCCUUGAGGGUUAAGGCCCCCAGCUAGACCACUGGGUUGAUAGGCCAGAAGUGUAAGCCUGGUAACAGGUUCAGCCGACUGGUACUAAUAGGCCGAGGACUUCA
rnacentral:rRNA from 1 species